rnacentral:rRNA from 1 species
AGUGAACGCUGGCGGCAGGCCUAACACAUGCAAGUCGAGCGGCAGCGCGGGGGCAACCCUGGCGGCGAGCGGCGGACGGGUGAGGAAUGCAUCGGAAUCUGCCUCGUUGUGGGGGAUAACGUAGGGAAACUUACGCUAAUACCGCAUACGACCGAGAGGUGAAAGUGGGGGACCGCAAGGCCUCACGCGAUGAGAUGAGCCGAUGCCGGAUUAGCUAGUUGGCGGGGUAAAGGCCCACCAAGGCGACGAUCCGUAGCUGGUCUGAGAGGAUGAUCAGCCACACUGGAACUGAGACACGGUCCAGACUCCUACGGGAGGCAGCAGUGGGGAAUAUUGGACAAUGGGCGCAAGCCUGAUCCAGCCAUGCCGCGUGUGUGAAGAAGGCCUUCGGGUUGUAAAGCACUUUUGUUGGGGAAGAAAACCUGACGGUUAAUACCUGUCGGGAAUGACGGUACCCAAAGAAUAAGCACCGGCUAACUUCGUG